ACAUUUUUUAGAGCCAAAUUCAAUUUAGUUAAUAACCAAAAUUACAUUCAAAUCCAAAUUCAAAAUUAUAAUAUUAAAAUUUAUCCUAAAAUAUAUUCAUUGUAAUCCAUUUCCAUCUUAAAUAAGCUGCACCUUGAUCUGAUUUUUAAUAUAAUUAAAUAUUAAAAUUAUAUACUUCAAAAAAUAAUUUUUAACGACGAUAUACAAGCAAAAUUUAAGUAUUAUUAAUCGUGGAUUAUCGAUUACAGAACAGAUUCCCCUGAUUGGAAUAAAAAACCGCCAAAUUUUUUGAUUUUAAAGAACAUAACUAACAUUUUUCAAGUCUAAAAUCUUUAAUCUACAUUCUAGAAUAAUGGGGUAUCUAAUCCCAGUUUAAAAUCUAAAUUUCUUAACCUCAUAAUCAAAAAAAUAAUUAAACUUAAAAUAAAAUUUCACCUAAUAUUUUAAGAAGUAAAUAAUCACUUUAUAUUAAUUAAAUAUAACUGAUAAAAAAUAGUAGCAUUAUUUGUUUAACCGCA
rnacentral:rRNA from 1 species